ensembl:misc_RNA Metazoa_SRP Metazoan signal recognition particle RNA
GCCAGCCAUGGAGGCGUGGACCUGUAGUCCCAGCUACUCUGGAGGCUGAAGCAGGAGGAUUGCUUGAGCCUAGGAGUUCUGGGCUAUAGUGCAUUAUGCUGAUCGGGUGUCUGCAGUAAGUUCAAUAUCAAUAUGGCGAUAUCCUGGGAGAAGGGGAGCACUGGGUUGCCUAAGGAGAGGUGAACUGGCUCAGAUUGGAAACUGAGAAAGCCCAGACUCCUGAGGUGAUCAUUAGUAGGACAUUGCCUGUGAAAAGCCACUGUACUCCAGCAUGGGCAACACAGUGAGAUUUUUUUUUCU